rnacentral:tRNA from 2 species
GGGGCUGUAGCUCAGUGGGAGAGCGUCUGCUUGGCGUGCAGAAGGUCGGGGGUUCAAGUCCCCUCAGCUCCA